rnacentral:lncRNA from 1 species
CCGACCCCUUGCUCUAAAGUACCGCAGAUGAAGGAUGUGCAGGCAGAAUGAGAAGAGGAAGGACAGUAAACAAGCAAGAGGUCAAACACACAGUAUAUGAAUGCCAAGACUCAACUUGCCACAAAAUGAAAGGAAAAACUUGCAACGUUUCAAACUUUUAGUGAAAGUUCCUCAUCAAGUGUAAGCAUAUGUGAACUUCAAGAAAAUAGUUCAGUCUGUUCAUGGUAAGCCAUAUUUCAGUAUUUCAUAGGAUACAAAUGACUUCAGAUAUUGUCACAGAUAUUUCUGUACGUUAAUAUUCUUUACAUUUUGAUAUAUUGAUAUUUUUAUACUUCACAUGAUGGAUCAUGACCAAAUUACUAAUAUUGUGUCUUCUUUACUUUGUUGAAAAUAAAUAUCAGAGAUUGAAUUUGCAUUGGUUAUUCAGCAUAGAGAGUAAGUCAGGCUUCAGGGAGGAACCUAGUGAGAGCCCAAUGUAGAAGACAGACAAACUGGUGAGGACAGGUUGGCAGUCAAUUUAUAUGUGGCAUAUGGCAUUUGCCAGAUCUACCUUUCAUUGUAAUAGCAGAUUGUCUGCAGAGUAGUAGCCACAUCUUGUCAAGUACAUACAGUGGGUAAAAUUAUGCACUUUGGUCUGACUGAUUAGGAAAGAAUACUUGCUAAGUGUGUAAUUACUGAAUGCAGAAUAAUGAACAGUUAGUAUGGCAUCAUUUUUCUAAUGGCAUGAGUGAGACUAAAUAUCUUUAACAAUGCAAGAGAUGUAUUUCAUGUAUUUCUGAUGAGAAUAACCAAUAAACCAUGUUAAAUAAUCUCUUGCAUUGUUAAAAAUAUUCAAACUCAUAAUCUCUCUGUUCUUCCUUUAAUUCCAGUACACACCAAUAUACUUACAAAAAGAACACCAUUGCCCACCUGACCACCUCUCAGCCCACAUUUGAUUUCUUGCUAAUUUUGAACAGGUGUGUCUCAACAGAGGGUGAAAGUUCCUUGCCACUAAUUUUUUUCUUCCAUAAGAUCUGUAAUACCUGUUUAUGAUUUAAAAGAUUUCUCACAACCUUGAAACUGUAGGUGACUUUACCUUUCCACUUCCCUAUUUUCUCUUAGUAUUCAUCUUUUUCUUCCAAUGCCCUCAUUUGCUUGGUAAUCAUAUUUUCUUUCCUUGAUUUAUAACAUCUAUACAGCAUUGUGUAUGUCCUGGCUGAAGCACAAUGUGUAAGAUCUAGUAAGUUAAUAUUAUUUAGAUGUAGAUGAUAGUGAGUAUAUUUACAUUACUAUGAUUUUGAAUGUUCCUUUCAGGGCAACUUUCUCACUUUCAUGUUCAGAUUUUUAAAAACUCAAUAGUAUUUAUAUUUUAGGUGAAGUGGAUUGUAUUUUAUAACUUUUAUUACAUCCUUAUUUAUAUAUAUAUAUAUAUUUUUUUUUAAUUGGAUAUUUCAGAUUUAUAUACAGUAAUCUAAACCUCAACCCUCUUUCUAUUGGGUUUAUCUUUAUUUUCUGACCUCACUUUGGAGGAAUAUUCUGUCAAACAUCCAUUAAACAGCUCUUUAAUCCCUUUGUGAUGGGCAUAUUCCAUGGGGUCCAAUUACUUUUGUACCACAUUUUUUCUAUAGUUGAAAUUGUAAGUUAUUCCUUCAGUUAAGAUGAUCUAUUAUACCAAAUACUAAUUAGUAUCACUUUUCUAAUACUUUCAUACUAUAAUAUAAAAUAAUAGAAUACACACUUCUUAACAUCUUCAGAUAGGGCUCAUCUCAGAAGUGAAAUAAGGUUGCAAUAGGUCAUCCUCAAAUGUAUCCAUGUUUUUUGGGGGGGAAAUCAUCAGCUCUGCUCUCAACCUACUUUUCUUUUUCAGCUGUCAUCUGGGAUCAGCUGAACAUUCCUGUAGAGGUUACCUCUUGGGAGGCUUCACUUAGUUCUUUAAGUCCCAGCCCUAGGAUAAGCAUUUUCUUUCAUAGUUCUCUUGUAGCAGUGAUAGUGAAUGACUCAUUGAUAAUCAAAUAAUGUUGUAGAAUAGAUAGAACAAAAAUGGAGAUUAUGGAAUUUCACCAGAUUAACUAUUUUUUGUGAUGUUCCUUCUAUAAAUGCUCCCUCUCUCCAUUCCAUAAAGAUGUUGGUUGUCUGGGCCCUUAGAGCUAGUAAGAUUUUCUGCUUGUCUCCCCAGCCAAGUAUCUUCAUUAUGCCUGAAAGUAAAGGGAUUGGAUGCCUUUCUUCUCAUGUCAGUGCUCAGUAGCUAUAUUCUUCAUCCCUCCACCAAUCAUGUCAUCCAAUAUUUACAGAUUUUCGUUGAUGGAUUCUUCUGUCACUCUUUUCUCCACAAAUCAGACAGAUGUCUCGGAAGGUGUCCAUAGCUCAGACCUCGGAAAGGAAAGAUCAUAGAGGAUAUUUCUGGAAUUCUUCAAGGAGGAUUUCUCUUUUUUAUCAUGUUUGUUUCCAUGGUCCUUUGUUAACCUCAGUCAUAUUAACAGUAUAUAAUGGCACUGGAGGAUCUUAUCUCUCUCAGCUAUAACAAAAGGCAAUAGCUCUAAAGUUGCACCUUUAUAUUUUGAAGUCUUUUCCAACAGGGUCUUCAAAUCUUCUUUCAUGGACUGGUUACUGCAAACCCCUGUUACAUUGGAUCACUCACCUUCAGCCAUGUUUGUGGUUGUCCUUUUGCUCUAUGAGUGUAGGUGCCUCAGCUGGUGGCUCUACCUGUCUUACCAACCACCCCCACUUCAGCACUGCUUUAAUGGGUUUCCAUUCUUUAUUCCUGUGUAUUACAUAGCCAUAGUUGUUUUAUAUCUUUUAGAAAUCUCUUACUCCUCCACCUUUGGGUAGUUAAAAAUAAAUAAUGGGAAAUUA